rnacentral:lncRNA from 1 species
UGUCGAUUUCGUUGAAAAUUCAAAAGCAAUGAUUUCGAUUUGAACAGCUAACCUCGAGUACCGGGUGUAAAUUGCAGUAUAAAAACAAUAUAUGAGCAUUGUCGGAAAAUAUAAAAUUUGUUUGUACUCGCUACGAAACAGGAGAAAAGCUUGGCAGAGCCUCGCUUUUCAUCAUGUUUCUAAAGCUCGUACAAAUAAAUU